rnacentral:lncRNA from 1 species
GGUUUCCCCUCGCGAGGGAGACUGGGAUGACUGCACCCAAUGUAAGAAGCAGGGAGAAAAGCUCAAGUGAAGAGUCUCAACAUACUGAAGGUAAAAUGUGUGUGUGUGUUUUUUUUUUUUUUUAAAUCAGCUUUUUGGAACGCGAGGAGAAGAAACCGGCUGGAAUGGUGCGGCUAACUCCUAACAGCACUGUGAGAGGUGGGAGGAGAGGCUGGCUCUCACACGGAGGGAGGGACUCGGAGAGCAUGGAGCUUCAUUCACUCUGCUGAACACUCACACACACACACACACACACACACACACACACACACACACAAACACACAUGCUCUGCAAAAGCUGUUCUCAGGCUGAGAGAAAAGAGGGGAGGAUAGGACUGCACGCUCGCUGAUGUUGUCCCAGGUGGGUGACAGACGGGGACAAACAGACACUGAGGAAGGCCAAAGAAGUGUUCAGAGAGGUUCAUCAAACCCUGGAGAGCACCGAGCUUUCAGAUCCCUUGACUUGAUUCCCCCGAACGAAGACGCGCUGACUCGGGUGGAGGCGUAGGGCCGUAGCUCCCAGGACGACCUCCAGGAUGUCCCGGAGGAGGUUCUACAGGCGACCUGGGUGCCCAGGGACAUCACUGAGAUCUUUAGCCCGGGAGGCGAGGGCUCAUCGUGGGCAGAAGAAGCCGGGUAGCUCCCUGGGACAGGCCUUCAGCUGGUUAAAGGGGAACAGGAGGAAGAAGAACCUUAACAAUGGGCUGAACCGAAUCGCUGUUGGUGCGACGGAUGCCAAACUGGGACUUCAGAAUCACGACUCUGCAAAAGCUGGCCCGAAAGGGAACGAAGACCAGAAGAGGUUGACGGUCCACUACCGGACCUCCCAGCACUACCAGGAGAAUGUUUUCAUUGAGGGCAGCAGGCCGCAGUACCUGGAGGACCUGCACACCGAGGCCCAGGAAGGGCUGAAGAUACUGCAGCAGGAAGGUUAGACGCAACGCUAUGAACAUGAAAACACAUGAGUUCAUACUUACUGGCAUAUAUUUGUGUUUUAUAUACUGACGUACGACAAAUGAAAAGUUUACCCACAAUGAUUGCAUCAGGUUAUGGUUGUAGUUUGAGCG